AGUGAACGCUGGCGGUAGGCCUAACACAUGCAAGUCGAACGGCAGCACAGUAAGAGCUUGCUCUUACGGGUGGCGAGUGGCGGACGGGUGAGGAAUACAUCGGAAUCUACUUUUUCGUGGGGGAUAACGUAGGGAAACUUACGCUAAUACCGCAUACGACCUACGGGUGAAAUCAGGGGAUCUUCGGACCUUGCGCGAUUGUAUGAGCCGAUGUCGGAUUAGCUAGUUGGCGGGGUAAAGGCCCACCAAGGCGACGAUCCGUAGCUGGUCUGAGAGGAUGAUCAGCCACACUGGAACUGAGACACGGUCCAGACUCCUACGGGAGGCAGCAGUGGGGAAUAUUGGACAAUGGGCGCAAGCCUGAUCCAGCCAUACCGCGUGGGUGAAGAAGGCCUUCGGGUUGUAAAGCCCUUUUGUUGGGAAAGAAAAGCAGCAGGUUAAUACCCCGCUGUUCUGACGGUACCAAAAGAAUAAGCACCGGCUAACUUCGUG
rnacentral:rRNA from 1 species